CCCCAGUGCCUACUCAGCUUCUGGUCUCAAUCCCAAAAUCACACCCUCUGGGGUAAUUUUCCUGAUCCUCAAAGCCUGGGUGAAGAAACUCCUACAACACUUUAUGACAUUGCUGCAUUUAUUACUCCGUACUGCCAAUGAAUACAUGAAUGUAGGAUUACAUUCAAUUAUUUGUAGGAUAAAUGCAGGCCCUCCGAUCCACACAGCAGAGUUGACUAUACUCAACAUUUUGUGGCAACGUGGUGUCAGUUUUCCCUGUAAGGGAGUGUGUUUUGGUUUCUGUUUUAUCUUCAUUGCUUGUACUGUACCUGACACAAAGUGGGUACUUAAAUAUAUCUGUGAAAUAAAUACAUAACUAUCAUAAAAAUAAAAUGGAGUACUUUAAAAAGGCACAAAGAAUGUUCUUGAGACCACUGCCUUGUUAGGCUCAGCAGACAAACUCUGUCCUUAGGAACCGUCUUCUACUUGGUACAGCACUGGCCUCAGGCCGCCUGCAUCUGCGUGGACCAGUAAGAAUGAAGUCCAGCAGCAUAGAGAAAAGCAUCAUAAAGGCUGGGAGGUCAUCCCCCAGGGCCUCCCCUACUUCACAUACACAGAGACGUGUGCAUAUGUCACACACACACACAUAUUAUAUAUAGAUAUGUAUUUUUUUUUUUUUUUACAAAAAUAACAGGGUUUGCACAGCUCUAUUAAUUUUUUAAAAUUACACAGGCAAGGUUUAUGCUUCAGUAUAAC
rnacentral:lncRNA from 10 species